rnacentral:rRNA from 1 species
UACGUAGGUGGCAAGCGUUGUCCGGAAUUAUUGGACGUAAAGCGCGCGCAGGCGGUCCUUUAAGUCUGAUGUGAAAGCCCACGGCUCAACCGUGGAGGGUCAUUGGAAACUGGGGGACUUGAGUACAGAAGAGGAAAGCGGAAUUCCACGUGGUAGCGGUGAAAUGCGUAGAGAUGUGGAGGAACACCAGUGGCGAAGGCGAGU